UGGGGAAUAUUGGACAAUGGGCGCAAGCCUGAUCCAGCAAUGCCGCGUGAGUGAUGAAGGCCUUAGGGUUGUAAAGCUCUUUCGCACGCGACGAUGAUGACGGUAGCGUGAGAAGAAGCCCCGGCUAACUUCGUGCCAGCAGCCGCGGUAAUACGAAGGGGGCUAGCGUUGUUCGGAAUUACUGGGCGUAAAGGGCGCGUAGGCGGCCUGUUUAGUCAGAAGUGAAAGCCCCGGGCUCAACCUGGGAAUAGCUUUUGAUACUGGCAGGCUUGAGUUCCGGAGAGGAUGGUGGAAUUCCCAGUGUAGAGGUGAAAUUCGUAGAUAUUGGGAAGAACACCGGUGGCGAAGGCGGCCAUCUGGACGGACACUGACGCUGAGGCGCGAAAGCGUGGGGAGCAAACAGGAUUAGAUACCCUGGUAGUCCACGCCGUAAAACGAUGAAUGCUAGACGUCGGGGUGCAUGCACUUCGGUGUCGCCGCUAACGCAUUAAGCAUUCCGCCUGGGGAGUACGGCCGCAAGGUUAAAACUUAAAGGAAUUGACGGGGUCAUAGUGUUUCCU
rnacentral:rRNA from 1 species